UACGUAGGCAGCAAGCGUUGUUCGGAGUUACUGGGCGUAAAGGGUGCGUAGGCGGUCCUGUAAGUCUGGUGUGAAAUCUCCCGGCUUAACUGGGAGGGUGCGCUAUAGACUGCGGGACUAGAGGGUGGGAGAGGAAAGUGGAAUUCCUGGUGUAGCGGUGAAAUGCGUAGAUAUCAGGAGGAACACCGGUGGUGUAAACGGCUUUCUGGACCAUUUCUGACGCUGAGGCACGAAAGCGUGGGUAGCAAACAGG
rnacentral:rRNA from 1 species